GUAAUGCCUGCCCAGUGACCAUGUGUUCAACGGCCGCGGUAUUCUGACCGCGCGAAGGUAGCGUAAUCACUUGUCUUCUAAAUAAAGACUAGUAUGAACGGCCACACGAAGACUUAACUGUCUCCCCUGUCCAAUCAGUGAAACUGAUCUCCUUGUGCAGAAGCGAGGAUAAACCCAUAAGACGAGAAGACCCUAUGGAGCUUUAAACUUAAUAUUAACUAUUUCUAUAAUCCCCUCUAAGGAAUUAACAAAUAACCCUUUUUCAACUUAAUAUUAGUUUUAGGUUGGGGCGACCAUGGAGAAAAAAAUAUCCUCCCUGAUGACUUUUAAACCAAGAGCUACAACUCUAAGUAUUAAGAUACUUAACUUCCAUUGACCCAUUUUAUGAUCAACGAACCAAGUUACCCUAGGGAUAACAGCGCAAUCCAUUUCAAGAGUCCCUAUCGACAAAUGGGUUUACGACCUCGAUGUUGGAUCAGGGCAUCCCAGUGGUGCAACCGCUACUA
rnacentral:rRNA from 1 species